AACACACGUUAUUAUAUAUCUUUCAUUUAUUUCUACAUUUACGCGACAUACAUUUAUUUAUUUAUGUAUUUAUGUGUCCGUAUGCUAAUGAGGUGGGCGGUCCUAACCUCAGUCUGAAGCAGGAUUCGCCAAUUGUUGGAGCCAGGCAGAAGCAAUAGAUUCGUGGCAAGUCACAUCUGUACAUUCUGUGUACAUUGUCGGCAACUCGCUAAUAAUGGCUUCGGCUGGAAGGGCGCUGGCAGACCUUCUGCGGGAUGCGGCUAACCAGCUUGAAAACUCACCAAGGACCGCUAACGCGCCAGUUUCGUCUCCUCCUCCUCAUCCGUUACAUAACGGGACUCCCAGACACCCAGUGGACGCCGAAGUUUCAAGACUGUUUGGCCCCUACAUGGGAGGGAGGAGGACGGCAGGGCGGCAAACCCUUUCUGGUCCUGCACACCUGCAUUCUUAUACCCAUUUAUUCUGUUGCCUUGAGGACAAGAAUGCAGCCUUAGUCCCCAACCGAUACGCCAA